UACGUAGGGGGCGAGCGUUGUCCGGAUUUAUUGGGCGUAAAGAGCUCGUAGGCGGUUCGGCAAGUCGAUGGUGAAAUCUCCACGCUCAACGUGGAGGGGUCCGUCGAUACUGCUGUGACUCGAGUCCGGUAGGGGAGUGUGGAAUUCCCGGUGUAGCGGUGAAAUGCGCAGAGAUCGGGAGGAACACCCGUAGCGAAGGCGGCACUCUGGGCCGGUACUGACGCUGAGGAGCGAAAGCGUGGGGAGCAAACAGG
rnacentral:rRNA from 1 species